AGGGCACCACCAGGAGUGGAGCCUGCGGCUUAAUUUGACUCAACACGGGAAAUCUCACCAGGCCCGGACACCGGAAGGAUUGACAGAUUGAGAGCUCUUUCUUGAUUCGGUGGGUGGUGGUGCAUGGCCGUUCUUAGUUGGUGGAGCGAUUUGUCUGGUUAAUUCCGAUAACGAACGAGACUCUGGCCUACUAACUAGACGUUGGAUCCCUUUGUGGGUCCAUCGCAGCUUCUUAGAGGGACGGGCGGCGUUUAGCCGCACGAGAUUGAGCAAUAACAGGUCUGUGAUGCCCUUAGAUGUUCUGGGCUGCACGCGCGCUACACUGAAGGAAUCAGCGUGUGUUCCCUAUCCGAAAGGAUUGGGAAACCCGUUGAACCUCCUUCGUGAUGGGGAUUGGGGAUUGCAAUUAUUCCCCAUGAACGAGGAAUUCCCAGUAGGCGCGAGCCAUAAGCUUGCGUCGAUUACGUCCCUGCCCUUUGUACACACCGCCCGUCGCUACUACCGAUCGAGUGAUUUAGU
rnacentral:rRNA from 1 species